GGAUGGUAGGAUGAGCGGCUAAAUCGCCUCCCCGCUAAGGAGGUUGGGCGCAAUGCCCUGGCGGGUUCGACCCCCGCACCAUCCG
rnacentral:tRNA from 1 species